rnacentral:rRNA from 1 species
GACGAACGCUGGCGGCGUGCUUAACACAUGCAAGUCGAACGGAAAGGCCCUGCUUUUGUGGGGUGCUCGAGUGGCGAACGGGUGAGUAACACGUGAGUAACCUGCCCUUGACUUUGGGAUAACUUCAGGAAACUGGGGCUAAUACCGGAUAGGAGCUCCUGCUGCAUGGUGGGGGUUGGAAAGUUUCGGCGGUUGGGGAUGGACUCGCGGCUUAUCAGCUUGUUGGUGGGGUAGUGGCUUACCAAGGCUUUGACGGGUAGCCGGCCUGAGAGGGUGACCGGCCACAUUGGGACUGAGAUACGGACCAGAGUCCUACGGGAGGCAGCAGUGGGGAAUAUUGCACAAUGGGCGGAAGCCUGAUGCAGCAACGCCGCGUGCGGGAUGACGGCCUUCGGGUUGUAAACCGCUUUCGCCUGUGACGAAGCGUGAGUGACGGUAAUGGGUAAAGAAGCACCGGCUAACUACGUG